CACCAUGAUCGUGAGGCUUCCCCAGCCACAUGACACUGCCUUUCUACCUAAUGGUCUUGGAGAUUGAGGUCACGGAACCUGAAAGCUGCCUUGAUCUGCUGAGGACUAUGGUGAGCAACCCACUGCUAUCUUUGUCCUCACUUGGUUCAGUAUUCCUGGAAUAUGUAACUGCAUGACAGGAUGAAGAUCAACAACUAAAUACUAUUUAGCAUUGAUGGUUCAGGACCGUGGACAGCACUCAUGUUGGGAAUGGGGCUUGCUGAAAUUGCAGUGACUUUGUAAGUUUGGUCUGUCACAGAAUAAAUUUGUUGGCGUGGCUACAAAUGGAUAAGGUGCUCACCAGAAUAUUAAAACUCAUGGCUGAAUUAAUUUUUUUCUUCCCUUCAUGGAGGGGAGGAAAAAAAAACAUUAACGCAAAGAAAGGCUGGCACAUAAUAGCACUCAAAUACCUUAACUGAAAUGAACUUUUCACCUUAAUGAUAAAGAGUGGCUCAACAUGUAGGUGUAUUUGAUGGCUCUUUUAAAGUGAUCAUUCCAAAUCAAUAACUGAAAAGGAAAUUUGUGUAUUUUUUUUUUACUGUGCUGUCCAUGGUGUCAAUGAAAAUAAAGUUGUUAAAAGUUGAACUAAAAAAUGAGAACUGAGUUGAGAUUCAGUCACUAACACAGGAUAAUGCAAAUUCGUUUUAGAUGUAAAAUUAAAAACAUCAUUAUUUUUAUGACAAAAUUUUAAAAUCCUUUCAUGACUUUGUCCAACAAUUUAAAUGACCCCAUCAUCCAUCCUCUGACACAAGUAACUUAAGUGAAAGGUUACUUGAAACUUCACCAAUGGAAGCCUGAAAAUUUAACGAUAUACCUUUCUGGCAGCAUUCUUUCAUCUUUGUCACCUUGAUACAGUUCCUAAACAGAAAACAAACUAAUGCUACUCAAAUCUACAUGUUUACAUAAACUCACAUUUCAUGUGUCAUCUGUUCUGAAGAGUCUUUUUCUAAAAUUAGUCCCUACAGGUCUUGAAGUGUGUGACUCUCAUUUUGACACACAAUCAUACAAUGGCUCCAACUUUUGCUGCCUGACUCAUAUGUCCUCUGAAAGACAAACAUUGAGAGCUAUUUGAAGUAGUUCACUUACUUUUCUGUUACACUUCAUUACACCUAAAAGGGCUGCCACACAAAUAUUGAACACUUACAAAUCAUCGUUUUUCUGGAAUACAAGAGUGUAUCUCUUUGCUUCUUGGCACAUGUAUCUCUGGAGUAUGACAGUACAAUCAGUGAACUCAUCCUUUAAAUUGAUGAGAUGUUAUUAUCAUUCCUCUUAGUUUUACCUCAACUGGGAAAUGUUCACAUAACCAUUUAGAUGUGUUGCCUUAGAUCAGCAUUUAUCCAACUUUUUCCCCAAGGCAUCCACCUCUGCUGGCAAAAGUGCAGGAAGCAGGAUCUAGGAACAUUAUUCCAAGUUGUAGAUGGCAAAUAGAACAUUUCUUUGAACUCUCAUGCUUUACUUUAAAAUACAUUAGAAUUAAUUUUGUACUCUAUUCUACAAUUCAUUCAUUCAACAAAUAUUAGGGGCCUACUGCACGCCAGGCAUUAUUACAGGGAUACAGUAGUGAAUAAAUAUAUUUGUGUUUGUUUUUAACCUAGUAAUAUUUUAAUACAACUGGCACAAAUAGAAAAACAAAAACUUUGCCAAGCAAAGAGCAAAACUGAUAAUCCAAGAUGGAACAAUUAUUGCUUCAAAUACUACUAGUCAUGUUAUUGCAACCUGAGAG